GCUGGCGGCAUGCCUUACACAUGCAAGUCGAACGGCAGCACGGGGGCAACCCUGGUGGCGAGUGGCGAACGGGUGAGUAAUACAUCGGAACGUGUCCUGUAGUGGGGGAUAGCCCGGCGAAAGCCGGAUUAAUACCGCAUACGAUCUACGGAAGAAAGCGGGGGAUCCUUCGGGACCUCGCGCUAUAGGGGCGGCCGAUGGCAGAUUAGCUAGUUGGUGGGGUAAAGGCCUACCAAGGCGACGAUCUGUAGCUGGUGCUGAGAGGACGACCAGCCACACUGGGACUGAGACACGGCCCAGACUCCUACGGGAGGCAGCAGUGGGGAAUUUUGGACAAUGGGGGAAACCCUGAUCCAGCGAAUGCCGCGGUGUGUGAAGGAGGCCUUCGGGUUGUAAAGCACUUUUGUCCGGAAAGAAAACUUCUGCCCUAAGACGGUGGGAGGAUGACGGGACCGGAAGAAUAAGCACCGGCUAACU
rnacentral:rRNA from 1 species